rnacentral:snoRNA from 1 species
AUCUUUAAACAGGAAUAAAAAACCUGUCGGCUGUGGCAGUCUCCCUUCCCAGCCAUGGAAGAGCAUAUUCUUGUUUAUUGGCAAAGCUGUCACCAUUUAAUUGGUAUCAGAUUCUGACUUGCACAAGUAACAUUC